rnacentral:snoRNA from 1 species
GCAUUACUUGUGAUGAAAUUAUAGUUCAGCUGAAGAUGAUGCUGACAUAUGUAAUGUCUUUCGCUCCUAACUGAAGUUAAUG